rnacentral:rRNA from 1 species
UACGUAGGGCGCAAGCGUUGUCCGGAAUUAUUGGGCGUAAAGGGCGCGUAGGCGGGGAGGUAAGUCGGGUGUGAAAUCCCUCGGCCCAACCGAGGAACUACGCCCGAGACUGCUUCUCUUGAGUCCCGGAGAGGAAGAUGGAAUUCCCGGUGUAGCGGUGAAAUGUGUAGAGAUCGGGAGGAAUACCGGUGGCGAAGGCGGCAUCCUGGACCGGCAUUGACGCUGAGGAGCGAAAGCCAGGGGAGCAAACGGG